rnacentral:rRNA from 1 species
AUUGAACGCUGGCGGCAUGCCUUACACAUGCAAGUCGAACGGCAGCGCGGACUUCGGUCUGGCGGCGAGUGGCGAACGGGCGAGUAAUGUAUCGGAACGUACCAUUGAGUGGGGGAUAACGUAGCGAAAGUUACGCUAAUACCGCAUAUUCUCUCCGGAGGAAAGCAGGGGACCGCAAGGCCUUGCGCUCUUUGAGCGGCCGAUAUCAGAUUAGCUAGUUGGUGGGGUAAAAGCGCACCAAGGCGACGAUCUGUAGCGGGUCUGAGAGGAUGAUCCGCCACACUGGAACUGAGACACGGUCCAGACUCCUACGGGAGGCAGCAGUGGGGAAUUUUGGACAAUGGGGGCAACCCUGAUCCAGCCAUGCCGCGUGAGUGAAGAAGGCCUUCGGGUUGUAAAGCUCUUUCGGCCGGGAAAAAAUCGCAUGGAUUAAUACCCUGUGCGGAUGACGGUACCGGCAUAAGAAGCACCGGCUAACUACGUGCAGCAGCCGCAGUAAAAC